CGAAUGGAACCGCACCACCCCAAACCCAAGUCUGGUACAAGAUGUAACAACCCCCGGACCAAAUCCAAAGCAGAUUAACCCCAGUGCUAAACGUCACGUUACCACCCAGGCCCACAGAACAAGAGUGCCAAGGAAUAGGACUCACACCCAAACCCACUUUAGUGCUACGACAGAACAGAGAGACUGUAGGCCUAACCUUACAACCCUAGAUGCUGAUUAUACACUUACAUAAUGUGAGGGGAAUGAAUACC